rnacentral:rRNA from 1 species
UNUGACUUGAGUGCAGAAGGGGAGAGUGGAAUNCCAUGUGUAGCGGUGAAAUGCGUAGAUAUAUGGAGGAACACCAGUGGCGAAAGCGGCUCUCUGNUCUGUCACUGACGCUGAGGCUCGAAAGCGUGGGUAGCGANCAGGAUUAGAUACCCUGGUAGUCCACGCCGUAAACGAUGAGUGCUAGGUGUUAGGCCCUUUCCGGGGCUUAGUGCCGGAGCUAACGCAAUAAGCACUCCGCCUGGGGAGUACGACCGCAAGGUUGAAACUCAAAGGAAUUGACGGGGGCCCGCACAAGCGGUGGAGCAUGUGGUUUAAUUCGAAGCAACGCGAAGAACCUUACCAGGUCUUGACAUCCCGAUGCUAUUCUUAGAGAUAGGAAGUUACUUCGGUACAUCGGAGACAGGUGGUGCAUGGUUGUCGUCAGCUCGUGUCGUGAGAUGUUGGGUUAAGUCCCGCAACGAGCGCAACCCUUAUUGUUAGUUGCCAUCAUUAAGUUGGGCACUCUAGCGAGACUGCCGGUAAUAAACCGGAGGAAGGUGGGGAUGACGUCAAAUCAUCAUGCCCCUUAUGACCUGGGCUACACACGUGCUACAAUGGUCGGUACAACGAGUUGCGAGCCGGUGACGGCAAGCUAAUCUCUGAAAGCCGAUCUCAGUUCGGAUUGGAGGCUGCAACUCGCCUCCAUGAAGUCGGAAUCGCUAGUAAUCGCGGAUCAGCACGCCGCGGUGAAUACGUUCCCGGGCCUUGUACACACCGCCCGUCACACCACGAGAGUUUGUAACACC